rnacentral:rRNA from 1 species
UACGUAGGGGGCAAGCGUUGUCCGGAAUCAUUGGGCGUAAAGAGCGUGUAGGCGGCUCGAUAAGUCUGCUGUGAAAGUCCAGGGCUCAACCCUGGAAGGCCGGUGGAAACUGUCGGGCUAGAGUCCGGAAGAGGCGAGUGGAAUUCCCGGUGUAGCGGUGAAAUGCGCAGAUAUCGGGAGGAACACCAAUGGCGAAGGCAGCUCGCUGGGACGGUACUGACGCUGAGACGCGAAAGCGUGGGGAGCGAACAGGA